rnacentral:rRNA from 1 species
GUGCCAGCCGCCGCGGUAAUACGGAGGGUGCAAGCGUUAAUCGGAAUUACUGGGCGUAAAGUGCGCGUAGGCGGUCGAGUAAGUCGGAUGUGAAAGCCCCGGGCUCAACCUGGGAAUUGCAUUCGAUACUGCUUGACUCGAGUGCAGUAGAGGAGAGUGGAAUUCCCGGUGUAGCGGUGAAAUGCGUAGAUAUCGGGAGAAACACCAGUGGCGAAGGCGACUCUCUGGACUGACACUGACGCUGAUAGCGCGAAAGCGUGGGGAGCAAACAGGAUUAGAAACCCGUGUAGUCC